UCUACUUCCACUGUCCUCUGCAACUGUCCACUUCAAAUACAAAUAGACAACUUGGUUCCACAAGACCAGUACUAUCGCAUACCAGAGUUACCAUCAGAAAAUAUAAAUAGCAUCUUGAGCAUUGAGCCACAGCAGUUAAAGGUGUAUCAAGCUGCAUUCGUUCUACUACUGAAAGAAACCCUUCUUACCAUCCAUUCCUUACCGAUCCUUCUGCAAAUGCAUUUGUCAGCUGAUACUGAAAAUGUACCAGAAAGACAGCCACAUGCUUAAAAAUGAGAUCAUAUGCUGCAGCAAUAGAAGGAGAAACAGGAUUCAUCUAUGUCCCAAUCUAGCAUAUCCUGAUGAAAGGAGCCACAUGAGGAAGUGAUAGCAACUGGCAUCUAAAUAAACCAAACACAUUUCUAAAAUGUAUACUAGGUUUUGUUCCUGUUUUUAUGUAUUAUAGAGUCUAGUUUAUCCAACCUUAGC